rnacentral:rRNA from 1 species
CGCUGGCGGCGCGCCUAACACAUGCAAGUCGAGCGAGAACCGGAGCUUCGGCUCCGGGGCACAGCGGCGAACGGGUGAGUAACACGUGGAUAACCUGCCCUCGGCACCGGAAUAGCCCGGGGAAACCCGGAUUAAUGCCGGAUGGCCCCACAUCCCUGCGGGGAACGUGGGAAAAGGUAGCUUCGGCCUCUGGCCGAGGAUGGGUCCGCGGUGGAUUAGCUUGUUGGUGGGGUAAUGGCCCACCAAGGCGACGAUCCAUAGCUGGUCUGAGAGGACGGUCAGCCACACUGGGACUGAGACACGGCCCAGACUCCUACGGGAGGCAGCAGUGGGGAAUCUUGCGCAAUGGGCGAAAGCCUGACGCAGCGACGCCGCGUGCGGGAAGAAGGCCUUAGGGUUGUAAACCGCUUUCAGGAGGGACGAAGCCACUCGGGUGAAUAGCCCAGAGGGUGACGGUACCUCCAGAAGAAGCCCCGGCUAACUACGUGCCAGCAGCCGCGGUAAUACGUAGGGGGCAAGCGUUGUCCGGAUUCAUUGGGCGUAAGGAGCGUGUAGGCGGCCAGGUAGGUCGGUUGUGAAAACUGGAGGCUCAACCUUCAGAGGUCGA